UAAUUUUAUAAAUCUUUUAAUAUAUUUCAACGUAUAGUUAAUUAUAUUUAAAUAGAUUUUACGAAUUUUAGAAAUAAAAAGGUAAUUAACGAAUAUUUAUUUUUAUACGUUUUAAAUAUUUCAACGAUUUAUGAAAUUAAAAUGAUUUUAGAAUUUUAUGUUGAAAAGAAAUCGAAUUACGAAACGGAUUGAAUUUAGAAAACGAUCCUAAUCGAUUUUGGAUUGAAAUCCUAAAACUAAAUCCUAAUUCUAGCCCAAUUGACAAAGCCCAAAUAAUAAGACCCAAAACACUUUACUCCUUCCUUCUCUUUCAAUAUUACGUAAAAACAAAAAAAAAACAAACAAACCAACCAUCUCCUUCAAACUCACGUAAACCCAAACCCUCAAAACUUGCUCCUCUCUUUGCAGCCGUCGCCGUCAACCACCGCCGGACUAACGUCGCUGCACCACUCUCCCAUCACCGCCGUAGCCGCCGCGUGCACAGCCGCGACCACCAGGCCAACCACAACCAUCACCUUCAUCGUCGUCGCUGCCCUGCUCAGCCGACACCCUCUUCUCUCUCAUCCUUCGCGUGGAAAUCCUCCAUUUCCCUGCUUGUUCUUGCGUAAGUCAGCCGCACCACCAGUCGGCCACCGACGUCGCCAACCUGAUCUCGCAUUGCCACCGUGCCGCCCUGCCGCAGCACCACCUCCGGCCAGCCAGCCUUAUCUCCCUCACUUUUGGCGGAGAAUUCUCUGUAGGCGACUUUUGAAAGUGUUAAAGUGGUCUAUCAGU